AGGGGGCAGCCCGACAGCCGGGCGGCGUGCGGCGGGGAGGGGGCGGCGGGGGACCCGGCCCUGGGGAGAGCUGCCGAGCCCCAGUCCCGAUGGCACCGCGCCUCCACCCGCAGAGGCUUCGCGCCCCUCGCCCGGCGCCGUCGGAAGGAGGUGAAGCGGGCGGAAAAGCCGAGCGAUAUAAGGUCCUUCCGUUUAGAAGCCAUCGGGACGCUCGCAAGACACGAGGGAUUUGUCUUUCUUUAUAAAAAAAAUAUAUCAAAAAAUGGCCCCGCUCCCCCCGACGCAGGAAAGAUAAUCAUUCAAAGAAAGAAUCACUCAAAGCCAAACCCGUAUUUAAAAAAUAAAGAAAGGAUCCCUUUGCCUUGAGUCGCAAAGAUAAAAGAUUGCCCGUAUUCUCCAUUGAACGUGCCACCGGGGUAUCAAAGGAAGAGGAAUUAGACAGGAUGCAAAAGAGAGUCCGUCGAAGUCGGCUUAAAAAAAGGAGUAGGUUUAAUUUUUUGGAAUCUUUUUUUUUUUUUUUUUUUUUUUUUUUACCUGUCCAUUCGCCUUGGAGGGAGACGCGGCCACCGCUUCCCCGGGCUUCUCGGCGGCGGCUUCGCCCUUCGCAGCGGUCUUGGAGAACUGGGCACCCAUGCUGGCUUAUUCAACAAAGAAACUCAACAGAUCCAAAAGGAAGGGAAACAAAGAGCGUCGAGUCGUCGAGAUACCAGCUCACGGAGAACACCUUCUUGAAGACCGUGCCAGGAUCUCACAGCCAGCACCAAAAGCUAUCCGUCUGUCCACCUGCACCGGGAUCUCACCUGCAUGGGCAUCUGCGUGUUCCCUUUCUGCUGUAGCAACGUGUGGAUCUCAGAGCGGUGGCACUGAAAGAUUGCACUGAGCGAUGGUGGGAGUUCUGGCGGCAUAUGCUUUGCAAAGUCGGUGUAGGCUUUCAACCAUUUCAGUGUUUUGCAACUUUGAAAGAAAGGGAAAAAAGAAGGAAAAGUUUUGUUUGAUGUUAUUCCGGACUCUCACAUCCUCAGGUUGUUCUCCAGAGUGGACAAACAAGAAGCCUGGAAUACCUGCACACUGCCUGUCAGUCCCAGUGCACUGCAACCCGGACAGCUGUGUUCUAACAUAGACCCCUCGAUGUGAGGUGCCACCACCAGGUGUAACCCUGUGGCAAGCCUAUUGCCCAGCAGCCACCGGGCUGCUCGCUGUCACAGCACACCUUUAGGACCCCAGCAAGAACAGAUACGCUGCAGGGGAGAUUCCUCAUUCUUAAUCUUGCACUUCACUGAAGUUCUUGAUCUUUUCAUCUCCUUCCAAAGGGAAAAAAAGAAAGGGGAAAAAAAAACACCAAAAAACUGCCAACAAACUGCCACCCUGAUUGGUGUAUUGCAGAAGGACUAAUGAGAUAUGAGUGUGGAACACACCAUUGUGCUGCAGCAGGUUCCACACACAAAGGUCACAGAAUCACAGCAUAUCCUGAGUUGGAAAGGACCCACAAGACCAUCUUGCAGCAUUUCUCUGGCAGGACCAAUGAUGUACCAGGUGCUUACAGAGAUUUAGUGUCUGAAAAAAAUGAUUCCACUGUAGAUGCAUUUCGGCUUCUACCGCAAGAGCUGUGUCAGCAAGUAGUUAUAUGCCCUAUGUGCCACGGUAACAUUUCUAAGAACAUCAACUGAGGGACAGCUAUGAGAUGCCCAAAAGUGAAUGAGAAGGGGCAGCGCUGGGUUCCUCUCCCUUUGCCAUGCCAAAGGCUGAGGCCUCACGCUUGCCCAUUGCCUGAUCUCCAGUUGCACGCUGUACCCCUGAAGCCAGCUUGUCAGCAGUGCUUCCACACAUGACCCCUCACAGCAUGCUUUGCCCAGGAAUCGUAUCAUGCUCUUCUGUUGGGAAGUGGGAGAGCUGAGGUGGGACUGAUGGGAAGUCAGGAUGGUGCUGCCCAGCAAACCCACUGAGCCACUGUCUCCGAGCUAUGGCUGCUCACCUGUGAUACCGUGUUUGCAAAUACUGAGUGUGUGCCUCACAGCUGCUGUCAGAGCCCCAGAAAGCCCGACCGCGACACCCAGCCCCAGCCAGGGUAAAAGUACUGCAGUCAGCACUUUUAAUUCCAGUUAACUGUUGAAACUUUCGGAAACUUGUCCCAACUUGCUACCUGUAGACAGGACACAAAUGUAUUUUAACAUGUUUGCUGGCAAAUGCGCUAAAAUGCAACACACCCCAUCAACACUGCGGGUCUGAAAUCAUGUUAAUUAAAAGUUUUUCACUGACACUUUUUUUUUUUUUUUUUUUUUUUAAUACACCUUUAUCCUCGUCCAGACAAGCCUUUUAAGGAAAGUGAAUCUCAGGGCGGUUUUGGAAGUGGGAAUGCAGUGUUUACAGGAAUGCUGAUCCGGCACAUGUGUUCGGGUGGUCCUGGCGUUGCCUCUCCUGUCCAGGCUCUCUCUGAGAGGUGCUGGAACCUCAGGGGCAUGGGGAGCUUCCCUCUGUCCAGUCUGGGCAGCAGCUGCACCAAAAUGAUCCUACCAAUAGAUAGCAUUCCCUAUGUGCCCAUCUGCCCUGCAGCCCUCUCCUGGCUUGUAAUUAGGGAGAAACAGUGUAACAUAAGCAUUAGAAAGAAAGCAUCUUGCUUUCCUGUCGGGCUGGGAUAGUGAGGAAACUUCAUCCUUGUUUUAAUUUGUAUACACUGAUAAUGAGAGAACUGGACUGCAUGAGCUGAAAAAUACCAAAAGUUUCAUGUUCUGAAGCUAAAUGCAGAUUUAUAGAAUAGUAGCAUCUUUUCCCAAUUCCAAGAAAUGAGCAUUUAAUCACGUCCUCAUCAGCACUGAGAUUUCUCACUGACCCAUCAUUUUGGUUCCUUCAAGCUUCAUUCACGCUUGGUACGAUGCUAUCAAAGCUUUUAACCUUUACAUCACUCCCAGCCAUUACAAGCCUUUUACUAAUAUUUGCCAAGCUUUUAUUAACUGAAUACAUUGUACAAUGUUUGUUAAAUAGGAUCCAGACCAUUUGAACGUCCGGUGUGCUGUGAAGCUGGAACUUAACACAGCUUGUAUGUUUUAAAGGUAUCGUGCAGUUUGUAUUUCUUAUAUCUAAUAAAAAUGUAUAUAUCUUCCA
ensembl:lncRNA